rnacentral:rRNA from 1 species
GACGAACGCUGGCGGCGUGCUUAACACAUGCAAGUCGAACGGAAAGGCCCUGCUCUUGUGGGGUGCUCGAGUGGCGAACGGGUGAGUAACACGUGAGUAACCUGCCCUUGACUUUGGGAUAACUUCAGGAAACUGGGGCUAAUACCGGAUAGGAGCUCCUGCUGCAUGGUGGGGGUUGGAAAGUUUCGGCGGUUGGGGAUGGACUCGCGGCUUAUCAGCUUGUUGGUGGGGUAGUGGCUUACCAAGGCUUUGACGGGUAGCCGGCCUGAGAGGGUGACCGGCCACCUUGGGACUGAGAUACGGCCCAGACUCCUACGGGAGGCAGCAGUGGGGAAUAUUGCACAAUGGGCGGAAGCCUGAUGCAGCAACGCCGCGUGCGGGAUGACGGCCUUCGGGUUGUAAACCGCUUUCGCCUGUGACGAAGCGUGAGUGACGGUAAUGGGUAAAGAAGCACCGGCUAACUACGUG